AUUGAACGCUGGCGGAAUGCUUUACACACGCAAGUCGAGCGGCAGCGCGGGGCAACCUGGCGGCGAGCGGCGAACGGGUGAGUAAUGCAUCGGAACAUGUCCAUGUCGUGGGGGAUAGCCCGGCGAAAGCCGGAUUAAUACCGCAUACGCCCGAGAGGGGAAAGUGGGGGACUCGCAAGGGCCUCACGCGAUUGGGUUGGCCGAUGUCCGAUUAGCUAGUUGGCGGGGUAAUGGCCCACCAAGGCGAUGAUCGGUAGCUGGUCUGAGAGGAUGAUCAGCCACACUGGGACUGAGACACGGCCCUGACUCCUACGGGAGGCAGCAGUGGGGAAUUUUGGACAAUGGGGGCAACCCUGAUCCAGCCAUUCCGCGUGAGUGAAGAAGGCCUUCGGGUUGUAAAGCUCUUUUGUCCGGAACGAAACGGGUUGCGUGAAUAUCGCGAUCUACUGACGGUACCGGAAGAAUAAGCACCGGCUAACUACGUGCCAGCCGCCGCAGUAAAAC
rnacentral:rRNA from 1 species